AACGAACGCUGGCGGCAGGCCUAACACAUGCAAGUCGAGCGCCCUUUCGGGGGAGCGGCGGCCGGGUGAGUAAGCCGUGGGAAUAUGCCCUUCUCUACGGAUUAGCCUCGGGAAACUGAGAGUAAUACCGUAUACGCCCUGUGGGGGAAAGAUUUAUCGGGGAAGGAUUAGCCCGCGUUGGCUUGGGUAGUUGGUGGGGUAAUGGCCUACCAAGCCGACGAUCCAUAGCUGGUUUGGGAGGAUGAUCAGCCACCCUGGGACUGAGACACGGCCCCGACUCCUACGGGAGGCAGCAGUGGGGAAUCUUAGACAAUGGGGGCAACCCUGAUCUAGCCAUGCCGCGUGAGUGAUGAAGGCCUUAGGGUUGUAAAGCUCUUUCAGCUGGGAAGAUAAUGACGGUACCAGCAGAAGAAGCCCCGGCUAACUCCGUG
rnacentral:rRNA from 1 species